UUGUUAAAAAUGGAUGGUGAGAUCAUGCAUGAUGUAAUAAAGAAGGUAAAGAAGAAGGGGGAGUGGAAGGUGCUGGUGGUUGAUCAGCUGAGCAUGAGGAUGCUGUCCUCUUGCUGUAAGAUGACGGACAUCAUGACCGAGGGGAUAACAAUCGUGGAAGACAUCAACAAGCGCAGAGAGCCGCUCCCCAGCCUGGAGGCUGUGUAUCUCAUCACUCCGUCCGAGAAGUCUGUCCACUCUCUCAUCGGUGACUUUAAGGACCCACCAACCGCUAAGUACCGGGCUGCGCACGUCUUCUUCACGGACUCUUGUCCAGAUGCCCUGUUUAAUGAGCUGGUGAAAUCUCGAGCAGCCAAAGUCAUCAAAACUCUGACGGAAAUCAACAUUGCAUUUCUCCCCUACGAGUCCCAGGUGUAUUCCUUGGAUUCCGCGGACUCUUUCCAGAGCUUCUACAGUCCUCACAAGGCUCAGAUGAAGAAUCCUAUACUGGAGCGCCUGGCAGAGCAGAUUGCAACUCUGUGUGCCACCCUGAAGGAGUACCCGGCUGUGCGGUAUCGGGGGGAAUACAAGGACAACGCUUUGCUGGCUCAGCUAAUCCAAGACAAGCUCGAUGCCUACAAAGCCGAUGACCCAACAAUGGGCGAGGGCCCAGACAAGGCACGCUCCCAGCUCCUGAUCCUGGACCGCGGCUUCGACCCCAGCUCCCCUGUGCUUCAUGAACUGACUUUUCAAGCUAUGAGUUAUGACCUGCUGCCCAUUGAAAAUGAUGUAUACAAGUAUGAGACAAGUGGCAUCGGAGAGGCACGGGUGAAGGAAGUGCUCCUGGACGAGGAUGAUGACCUGUGGAUAGCAUUGCGCCAUAAGCACAUCGCGGAAGUGUCCCAGGAGGUCACCCGUUCUCUGAAAGAUUUUUCUUCCAGCAAGAGAAUGAAUACUGGAGAGAAGACCACCAUGCGGGACCUGUCCCAGAUGCUGAAGAAGAUGCCCCAGUACCAGAAAGAGCUCAGCAAGUAUUCAACUCACCUGCACCUGGCCGAGGACUGCAUGAAGCAUUACCAAGGCACCGUGGAUAAACUCUGCCGAGUGGAGCAGGACCUGGCCAUGGGCACAGAUGCUGAAGGGGAGAAGAUCAAGGACCCCAUGAGAGCCAUCGUCCCCAUUCUGCUGGAUGCAAAUGUCAGCACUUACGACAAAAUCCGCAUCAUCCUUCUCUACAUCUUUUUGAAGAAUGGCAUCACUGAGGAGAACCUGAACAAACUGAUCCAGCACGCCCAGAUCCCCCCAGAGGACAGCGAGAUCAUCACCAACAUGGCGCACCUGGGGGUGCCCAUCGUCACUGACUCCACGCUGCGCCGCAGGAGCAAGCCCGAGCGGAAGGAGCGCAUCAGCGAGCAGACUUACCAGCUCUCGCGGUGGACCCCGAUCAUUAAAGACAUCAUGGAGGACACUAUUGAAGACAAACUUGAUACCAAGCACUACCCUUAUAUCUCCACCCGCUCCUCUGCCUCCUUUAGUACCACCGCGGUCAGGGGCAGCUCAGUGUCACGUCUCCUGGGAAGACUUCUCCAGUGAUGCCUAGAUGAUGCUAGAAGGCCCUCCCCUGAGUGUGUCCCAGUAGCACUGAGCUCCUCUAUAGCACGAUUCUGACCUGCUUCCUUCUCCCCACCCACCCCAGUUAAACCAAGAGCUCUUGGUGGGCAUGGCUGACUCUCCCUCGGGUCGGCACCUUGGUGCUGGAGGAGACCGUGGCCCAGUGAGGUGCUCAGUGCGUGAAUCAGCGUGCCAACCUGAAGACGGGCCUUGACUCCAUCGUCACCGCUCACUGCCAGCAGUGUUCCAGACAAGCCUAGAAACCCAUACGCUCGAGGGCAGAAGCCUGACAACCACCGUGAGGGGAGAAGCUGUGGAAUGUAACACGUCAAACUUUAAAGCUAACUUGAGCCUGCCUGUUUCCAAGAGAGUGACAAGCUCACGGCAUGAGCGGCCAGAACCCUUGAUAAUGUGCACAGCGGUUCAGCUCAACCAAACUUGCUACUACUCUGUUUUGGUCACUGGUGUACAGAAUGAAUGUGUAGAUAAGUCAUUGAGGAUCCACGCACAUUCUCACCCCACAGAAACUGCUGGACACGCUGAAGAAACUGAAUAAAACAGAUGAAGAAAUAAGCAGUUAAAAACAUAAGCCACCCCUCCAAAAAACGAACCCUCUUCCCACAGUGCUCCGCAGCCCCUACCGCUGCCCGCCUCGGUUACUUUGCUGACCCCGUCCCUCCACCGCCUCCCCCAGCUCUGCACGCCCUGGCCGGCACUGUCGCCGCUGCGUUCUCGUGUUAAUGAUGCCCUCUUCUUGUGUGAAACAAAAGAAAAUAAUGCAUUGUGUUUUUUAAAAAGAGUAUCUUCUAUAUGUGUCCUAAAAGGAGAAGUGCCCGCGUAAGGGACACACUGCUGGAGAAGUUGUAGAACUGUCUAGAAUGAUUGGACACCUUCUCCCCAUUAUUAUGAUUCCAUGACCUUGUAUAUAACCCAGUGCGAUAUGCGCAAAUUGCUUGAGUAUGGGAAGGUAGACGUUUGGGUGUUUUACAAAAUCUGUUUUGGGUUGUUCCUGUUCUUUUUGGGAAUCACAGAGAUGUCUGUUCCUGGAAUAUUUCAAACUGAGGAUU